GCUGUGCCUCGAGGAUUAGUUUAAACAGCGGGCUAUAAAAGAUGUAACAGAUGCAAACUGUAACACAAGGGCCAUUAACCCUUUCUCUGCCGCCCAGCACGCCCAGUCCCUACACCCUGCACCUAUUGUCUCCGGUGCCACAAGCUUUGCGGAAAACCUGGAAAUUUUGGCCAGAAAUGGUGAGAAGAAAAAGCAUGAAGAAGCCGCGAAGUGUGGGGGAGAAAAAGGUGGAGGCGAAGAAACAGCUCCCGGAGCAAACUGAACAAAACCUCGCCAAGAGUGUCGGGAGGCAGGACCGUUAUUCCUGCCGAGCAGGGGAGAGAAGAGAGACCCUGAAACACGCGCCACCUAUCUUUGUGGGGAGGGAUAAUUGAAGCGCCCUGAGCGUGAGCAUCAUGUGAAAACGUGAUCGCCAAGUUUCUCUCUGGGAAAGGAUCUGGGAUAGAUUAUACCUUGAAGUCUCCGCAAACGCUUUAGUGGAAGAAAUGAAAUUCCACCUCCCUCCCUUCCUCUCUCCCUCCCUCCCUCCCUUCUCCACGCCCCCCCAACCCCCCCCCCCCGUCAAGUCUUUGGCAUCAUUAUCCUCAUCACUAAAUCCUUCAGAGUACUGGGCGGAAAACGGUGCACACCAUUCACAGAACUGGAGAACUCCGAGGGGCGAAAGUUAAAGGGAAAGAUCUUGGAUCUUCCAUGCAGAUCUCUUUUCUUACACAGAUAUCUCUGGUGACUAGGCUUGAGGUGCUCAUCAAGUUGUAUGGAUAUCUCAAGCACCGUUUUUUUUUUUGGGAACUAAAUUCUUGCCCUUCUAUUAUUAUUAUUAUUAUUAUUAUUAUUAUUAUUAUUAUUAUUAUUAUUAUUAUUAUUUUAAAGAUGCCAGAGCUAGGGGAGGAAAAUAGUACUUAUGCACUGCAACUUAGGAUCUCUCUCUCUCUCUCUCUCUCUCUCUCUGUGUGUGUGUGUGUGUGUGCGCGCGCGCGCGAGCGUGUGGAGAGGGGGGGCUUCUGGAUUGGAUCCCUAUAUUAAAAGUACUUUGGCAUUUUAAUAAAGGGUCUCUAGAUUAACACAGAAGUUCACUAUGUUGGCUAACCUUUGGAUCUCUCUACAUGUCAUGCAGACCACACUACUAAGUCAGGGGUUGGGGACAGGAGGAGGAAGGAGAAAGGCUAGAGGAGCUUAGGACUAAAGAAAGAAGAUGGUGACAUUAAACUGUGUGGGGUCUAAGUUUUGAAGUGCAUAUUUUUUGAUAUUGCAAUUAAAGUAAAAUUAAAAAGAAAA